rnacentral:lncRNA from 1 species
AACAGGAAUUUUAAGAGUAAAUUAAUUUUGCUACAAGGUGUUAUUAAGACCAGGUGAGGAUGGCCUUGAAUCACAAUGGCUCCUCUCCGCCAGCAAGAGCACCAUGGCUCCCAGGGGCUUGCCAGAGCUUCUCCCAGAAGGAAACACCCCAGAUUUACGAUCAUCCCUAACAAUUCUCACAGGAAAGGACGAAGAAAGGCAAGUGUGAAAUGAGGCAUGUCCAGUCCUCCAGAACUCUCAAGUUAGGACUUUCUGCCAUGGGCGCCUNCUCCGCCGCGUUGGUGGCCACACUCA